AACAAGGCGUACCUGCGGACCUGCGGAAGGAUCAUUACAGAGUUCGUGCCCUCGCGGGUAGAUCUCCCACCCUUGUGUAUUUUCUACAUCUUGUUGCUUUGGCAGGCCGUUGGUUCGCCAACCACCGGCUCGCGGGCUGGUGCGUGCCUGCCAGAGGACCUCUCAAACUCGGUUUGUUAGUGUCGUCUGAGUACCAUAACAAUCGUUAAAACUUUUAACAACGGAUCUCAGAUCGGAAGA
rnacentral:misc_RNA from 1 species